rnacentral:rRNA from 1 species
CCUACGGGAGGCAGCAGUGAGGAAUAUUGGUCAAUGGACGAGAGUCUGACCCAGCCAAGUAGCGUGAAGGAUGACUGCCCUAUGGGUUGUAAACUUCUUUUAUAAAGGAAUAAAACGAGGCACGUGUGCCUUUUUGCAUGUACUUUAUGAAUAAGGAUCGGCUAACUCCGUGCCAGCAGCCGCGGUAAUACGGAGGAUCCGAGCGUUAUCCGGAUUUAUUGGGUUUAAAUGGAGCGUAGAUGGGUUGGUAAGUCAGUUGUGAAAGUUUGCGGCUCAACCGUAAAAUUGCAAUUGAUACUGGCAGUCUUGAGUACAGUUGAGGUAGGCGGAAUUCGUGGUGUAGCGGUGAAAUGCGUAGAUAUCACGAAGAACCCCGAUGGCGAAGGCAGCUUACUAAACUGUGACUGACAUUGAUGCUCGAAAGUGUGGGUAUCAAACAGGAUUAGAUACCCCUGUAGUC